rnacentral:rRNA from 1 species
AAGGCUUGACAUAUAGGGAAAAGUGGCAGAGAUGUCAUGUCCGCAAGGGCUCUAUACAGGUGGUGCAUGGUUGUCGUCAGCUCGUGUCGUGAGAUGUUGGGUUAAGUCCCGCAACGAGCGCAACCCUCGUUCUGUGUUGCCAGCAUUUAGUUGGGGACUCACAGGAGACUGCCGGGGUUAACUCGGAGGAAGGUGGGGAUGACGUCAAAUCAUCAUGCCCCUUAUGUCUUGGGCUGCACGCAUGCUACAAUGGCCGGUACAGAGGGCUGCAAUACCGUAAGGUGGAGCGAAUCCCAAAAAGCCGGUCUCAGUUCGGAUUGAGGUCUGCAACUCGACCUCAUGAAGUUGGAGUGCUAGAAUCGAGAUCAGC